GACGAACGCUGGCGGCGUGCCUAAUACAUGCAAGUUGAGCGCUGAAGGUUGGUACUUGUACCAACUGGAUGAGCAGCGAACGGGUGAGUAACGCGUGGGGAAUCUGCCUUUGAGCGGGGGACAACAUUUGGAAACGAAUGCUAAUACCGCAUAAAAACUUUAAACACAAGUUUUAAGUUUGAAAGAUGCAUUUGCAUCACUCAAAGAUGAUUCCGCGUUGUAUUAGCUAGUUGGUGAGGUAAAGGCUCACCAAGGCGAUGAUACAUAGCCGACCUGAGAGGGUGAUCGGCCACAUUGGGACUGAGACACGGCCCAAACUCCUACGGGAGGCAGCAGUAGGGAAUCUUCGGCAAUGGACGAAAGUCUGACCGAGCAACGCCGCGUGAGUGAAGAAGGGUUUCAGAUCGUAAAACUCUGUUGGUAGAGAAGAACGUUGGUGAGAGUGGAAAGCUCAUCAAGUGACGGUAACUACCCAGAAAGGGACGGCUAACUACGUG
rnacentral:rRNA from 1 species